rnacentral:snRNA from 1 species
UCCCUCAACGGCAUCAGUUG